UACGAAGGGGGGCUAGCGUUGUUCGGAAUUACUGGGCGUAAAGCGCACGUAGGCGGAUCGAUCAGUCAGGGGUGAAAUCCCAGGGCUCAACCCUUGAAUGCCGGUUGAUACUGUCGGGCUAGAGUCCGGAAGAGGCGAGUGGAAUUCCCGGUGUAGCGGUGAAAUGCGCAGAUAUCGGGAGGAACACCAAUGGCGAAGGCAGCUCGCUGGGACGGUACUGACGCUGAGACGCGAAAGCGUGGGGGAGCAAACAGGG
rnacentral:rRNA from 1 species